rnacentral:rRNA from 1 species
UGAGGAAUAUUGGACAAUGGGCGCAAGCCUGAUCCAGCCAUGCCGCGUGCAUGAAGAAGCAUUUAUGGUUUUUAAACUGUUUCUGUACGGGAAGAAACACUCCUACGUGUAGCAGCUUUACGUUACCGUAAGAAUAAGGAUCGGCUAACCCCGUGCCAUCAGCCGCGGUAAUACGGAGGGUCCGAGCGUUAACCGGAAUCAUUGGGUUUAAAGGGUCCGUAGGCGGUUUCAUAAGUCAGUGGUGAAAGCCCAUCGCUCAACGAUGGAACGGCCAUUGAUACUGUUAGACUUGAAUUACAAAGAAGUGACUAGAAUAUGUAGUGUAGCGGUGAAAUGCUUAGAUAUGACAUGGAAUACCAAUUGCGAAGGCAGGUUACUACUUGUGGAUUGACGCUGAUGGACGAAAGCGUGGGGAGCAAACA